CCAGGGGUGCAUCUGAUCGGGGCACAGCCUUCCCCACCCAUGGCCCCAGGACGAGCCCCAUGUGCCACCCUCCGGCCCUGCUGGGCUCAGAGGCCCCCUGGACUUCAAGGACAUGGCCGCGACAGCGCUCCGAGUAGGACGAGUAGUGCACGUACACCAGCCAGCUGCCUGCAAAGACGCCCAGCCAGGCCAGGAAGAUGCAGCGGACCC
rnacentral:lncRNA from 1 species